GUCAGAUGCUGCAGACCCGAAACGAAGUGAUCUAUCCAUGAGCAGGUUGAAGCUGGUGUAAGAGCCAGUGGAGGACCGAACCCGCUGACGUUGAAAAGUCUUGGGAUGACUUGUGGAUAGGGGUGAAAGGCCAAUCAAACUUCGUGAUAGCUGGUUCUCUCCGAAAUAUAUUUAGGUAUAGCCUUGUGUUGUAGCAUAUAGGGGUAGAGCACUGAAUGGGCUAGGGCUGCUUACCGCGGUACCAAAACCCUAUCAAAACUAUGAAUACUAUAUGUGGAAUCACAGGAGUCAGGCGGUGGGUGAUAAAAUCCGUCGUCAAGAGGGGAACAACCCAGACUAAACAGCUAAGGUCCCUAAGUUACAUCUAAGUGGUAAACGAAGUGGGAAGGCAUAGACAGCCAGGAGUGUUGGUCGUUAGAAGCAGCCAUCAUUUAAAGAAAGACGUAAUAGCUCACUGGUCGAGUCGUCCU
rnacentral:rRNA from 1 species